GAUGAACGCUGGCGGCGUGCCUAAUACAUGCAAGUCGAACGCAUUGUGGUUGAAAUGAUAUGAAGAACUUGUUCAGAUUUGAUUUUCAACAUUGCAAUGAGUGGCGAACGGGUGAGUAACACGUGGGAAACCUACCUCUUAGCAGGGGAUAACAUUUGGAAACAAAUGCUAAUACCGUAUAAUAAUUAAAACCGCAUGGUUUUAGUUUAAAAGAUGGUCUUGCUAUCACUAAGAGAUGGUCCCGCGGUGUAUUAGUUAGUUGGUGAGGUAAUGGCUCACCAAGACAAUGAUACAUAGCCGAGUUGAGAGACUGACCGGCCACAAUGGGACUGAGACACGGCCCAUACUCCUACGGGAGGCAGCAGUAGGGAAUCUUCCACAAUGGACGAAAGUCUGAUGGAGCAACGCCGCGUGUGUGAUGAAGGGUUUCGGCUCGUAAAACACUGUUGUAAGAGAAGAAUGACAUUGAGAGUAACUGUUCAAUGCGUGACGGUAUCUU
rnacentral:rRNA from 1 species